rnacentral:rRNA from 1 species
AUACGGAGGGUGCAAGCGUUACUCGGAAUCACUGGGCGUAAAGCGCGCGCAGGCGGCUAUUUAAGUUGGAUGUGAAAGCCUACGGCUCAACCGUAGAACUGCAUCCAAAACUAUUUAGCUAGAGUGUGGGAGAGGAAGAUGGAAUUAGUUGUGUAGGGGUAAAAUCCGUAGAGAUAACUAGGAAUACCAAAAGCGAAGGCAAUCUUCUGGAACACUACUGAGGCUGAGGCGCGAAAGCGUGGGGAGCAAACAGGAUUAGAAACCCUAGUAGUCC